UUGCUUUGCUUCAAUGAAUUGAAACCUUUUCUGAAGGCAACUGCCAAUGGAUAUUCUCUGCAAAAGCAGGUAUGGAAUGCUGGUCUGAGGGUUCUCUAUGCUAUAGGACAAUGGCCAGGCAAUACUCAUGAUGCAUUUAUAUGGAGUGGACUGAAACAAAAUCUAGAUAGUAUUUUGUCGCAUCGUGCAUAUCUUUGGGAGAUAGUGGAUUAUAUUCCCAUUUUAUCACGGGAAUAUCUCUAUAAUGAGAAGCACAGAAAAGUUCGUGCAGCUAUAGAGAUCAAAUCAAGAUUUAGGGACUGGAACAAUUCGUUACAC